CUGCCUGAUGGAGGGGGAUAACUACUGGAAACGGUAGCUAAUACCGCAUAACGUCGCAAGACCAAAGAGGGGGACCUUCGGGCCACUUGCCAUCAGAUGUGCCCAGAUGGGAUUAGCUAGUAGGUGGGGUAAUGGCUCACCUAGGCGACGAUCCCUAGCUGGUCUGAGAGGAUGACCAGCCACACUGGAACUGAGACACGGUCCAGACUCCUACGGGAGGCAGCAGUGGGGAAUAUUGCACAAUGGGCGCAAGCCUGAUGCAGCCAUGCCGCGUGUGUGAAGAAGGCCUUCGGGUUGUAAAGCACUUUCAGCGAGGAGGAAGGUGGUGAACUUAAUACGUUCAUCAAUUGACGUUACUCGCAGAAGAAGCACCGGCUAACUCCGUGCCAGCAGCCGCGGUAAUACGGAGGGUGCAAGCGUUAAUCGGAAUUACUGGGCGUAAAGCGCACGCAGGCGGUUUGUUAAGUCAGAUGUGAAAUCCCCGGGCUCAACCUGGGAACUGCAUUUGAAACUGGCAAGCUAGAGUCUCGUAGAGGGGGGUAGAAUUCCAGGUGUAGCGGUGAAAUGCGUAGAGAUCUGGAGGAAUACCGGUGGCGAAGGCGGCCCCCUGGACGAAGACUGACGCU
rnacentral:rRNA from 1 species